GACAACAUCAAUUGGCCAUGGGGGAAUAUGCCAAUUUCUUACCCUUAGCCCAUGUUUGUUAUUCUACUUAGAUCUUUUUUUUUAAAAAAAAAAACUAAAAAAUAAUUUGUGAGUCCAAAGUCUAUAAUUCGCGUUUGGUAAAACUCAUUUUUAACAGUUUUCUUUUUCUCAAAACCUCAUUGUCGCCUCUAUCUCUCUCUCAUCCCCACACCUUUGAAACGAUUUUUGCGUGGGAUUUUGAUAUCUUGAGGUGGGUGAAAAAUUAAAAGCAUUUAUCCAUUACAAAAGGAGAAGAAAAAAAAAACUAAACCAUUUUAGUCCAUCUAACCAUUCAAACCAACUUGGAAAAUAAAAUUGAAAAUAAGGCAUUAAAGCAAGGUAAAGGAUUUUCUCUGAGGGAAUGAAAUGAGUGGCCCCAAAAUUAGCAUCGGUAUCAUGUUCAUUACAAAAAAAAAAAAAAAAAUCGGAAAAGGCUAAGAUAUUACUCUACAGAAAAGAAAACGAUUUUGUGAAGUAUAGUGCGGCUAUACUGUUUAAAUAUUAAUAUUAAUAUUAAUAUUAAUAUAUAUAUAUAUACAGUCCUGAUUUCUUGAACUACAGGAGUUCAAGAGAUUUGUGGUCACUCACCGUUAGAUAUAAAUUCAACGAUUCACUCACUCUUGC
rnacentral:lncRNA from 1 species